rnacentral:tRNA from 1 species
GGUAAAAUGGCUGAAUUUAGGCAAUAAACUGUAAAUUUAUUUAUGAAAUUGAUUUCUUUUAUCA